rnacentral:lncRNA from 1 species
UUAUGAAUAACAAUUCCAUCAGCCGAUAAGCACCAGGCCUUUGGGCCUCCAAUGAUUAUCCAACUGAUGGACCCAUUAUCAUCCACUUAAUGGGAGGCUAUGAUCUAGUUAUCACCAUAACUAUUUUAUUUUAAGGACCUAAUAAUUUUAGAAGAUUUAAUUGAUUUAGAGGAUGAGGUCAGAUGAAUCAGCUUAUCAUGAUCCUCCCACUAGUUUCACCAAGUCAGCUUAAGGGAGACCAUUAAAAGGGCUGGUCUAAGAGCACCUAAAUCAGUCACAGUGAUUUACCUAGCUGACAUGAUCAGCUCGAAUAGUCAAGUGAUUCGAUCAAAAUAUAAUUUCACCAAGAGGCCAGGUA